rnacentral:lncRNA from 1 species
GAAAUGUUAAAAAAUUACCAGAUAUGAGAAGUGGAGCCGCCAAGCUAUGUAUUGAAUGUCUCUUAAUUUGGGCUGCAUAGUUGCUUGUGCCAGAGUUAGGGUAACAUGGUAAAAAAUAAAUACGGGAAAUGGAAAAUUUGAGUACAGUAUUGGUUCAAAAUAAUUUAUUUAAGAGUGAUGAUGAUAAUAUUGAGGUUGAUUAUCACCUCUUAACAUAAAUUUCUGUAAUGGUCUAAUUUCUGAACAAGUAGGAUUGGUUCCUACAUAUGAAACCAAUGGUCUAAGAAUUAACUUCCAGGAGAAAAGACUCCAAAAUCAACAACUUCAGAAAGAUUUAUUCUCUGAAUUUCAAAUCACAAUAUACAUGGCUAUGAUGUCCAAAGCAUGUAAAUAUUAUCAAGAGUAUAUAAGGAUCAUGCGUCACUUAGCGAAUCCCCACAGGUCCUUAUUAUCUAAUCACCACACUUUCAUCAUCUACUCCAAGCUCAGACCUAAGCUCUGGCGUGUAGAAUCACAAUAACAAGCUUGGUUAGGCCUAGUGGACAUUUUCACAUGUGCUUCUCAUUUAGAUAUGGCUUAAAUGGAUAUACUUUGUAGUCACAACUAACUAUUCAAUUAUCAACAAGACAAAUAUCCACACCAUGAAAAUGGCAUAUUUCUAUGUAAAUAUGUGGAAUCACUAACACUUUUUAGAGAUGAACCAUUGAUACUGAAAAUAUCAAAAUAUUAAGACAAGAAACACUAUAAAGUACUCAAUUGAGAAAUGGAAACAAUAGUAAGCAAUGCAGUAAAUCUAGGUCAAAAUUUCCCAUUAGAAUCAAACUAAUACGGUCAAAUGAUAAUAAAAUAAAUAAAGGAUAAAAAGACGCAUAAACAAUCAGCUACCUGUCGGCACCACCAAAAAACCCAAUCUACAAUCUGAGGGAGUAAAAAUAAGAAAGGUAGAGCAAGAAAGUACAGAAAGGGCAAGUUAGACUGAUGCA